GCCCGGCUAGCUCAGUCGGUAGAGCAUGAGACUCAUAAUCUCAGGGUCGUGGGUUCGAGCCCCACGCUGGGCG
rnacentral:tRNA from 1 species